UACGUAGGGGGCUAGCGUCAUCCGGAAUUACUGGGCGUAAGGGGUGCGUAGGCGGUCUUUCAAGCCAGAAGUGAAAGGCUACGGCUCAACCGUAGUAAGCUUUUGGAACUGUAGGACUUGAGUACGGGAGAGGGCAGUGGAAUUCCUAGUGUAGGAGUGAAAUCCGUAGAUAUUAGGAAGAACACCAGUGGCGAAGGCGAUUCUCUGGACCAUAACUGACGCUGAGGCAUGAAAGCGUGGGUAGCAAACA
rnacentral:rRNA from 1 species